UUUUCCCUGAAGAUGUGUCUAUGGUGUGGCUGGGACUUUAAAGAAGUCUUUCCUUUGUCUUACGGCUUCCAGAAUUCCUGAUGAGGAGUCUGCUAUCAAUCUUAUCUUGUGGCUUUGAAGGGAUAAUGUCAUUCUCACCUGUAAUCCCAGCACUUUGGGAGGCUGAGGCCCAGGAAUUCAAGACCAACAUGGCAAAACCCUGUCUCUACAAAGAUACAAAAAUUAGCUGGAUGUGGUGGUGUGCACCUGUAGUCCCAGAUACUUGGGAGGCUGAGGUGGGAGGAUCGUUUGAGCCCAGGAGGUUGAGACUGCAGGGAGCUGUGUUUGUUCUGCAGGCUGUACAAGAGACACGGCACCAACAUCUGCAUCUGGGGAGGACUUCAGGCUACUUCAUUCACAGCACAAAAUGAAGGGGAGCAGUGUGUGCUGAGAUCACGUGGUGGUGAGA
rnacentral:lncRNA from 1 species